GGGGAAUAUUGCACAAUGGGCGCAAGCCUGAUGCAGCGACGCCGCGUGGGGGAUGAAGGCCUUCGGGUUGUAAACUCCUUUCGCCAGGGACGAAGCGUUUUGUGACGGUACCUGGAGAAGAAGCACCGGCUAACUACGUGCCAGCAGCCGCGGUAAUACGUAGGGUGCAAGCGUUGUCCGGAAUUACUGGGCGUAAAGAGCUCGUAGGUGGUUUGUCACGUCGUCUGUGAAAUUCCACAGCUUAACUGUGGGCGUGCAGGCGAUACGGGCAUAACUUGAGUGCUGUAGGGGUAACUGGAAUUCCUGGUGUAGCGGUGAAAUGCGCAGAUAUCAGGAGGAACACCGAUGGCGAAGGCAGGUUACUGGGCAGUUACUGACGCUGAGGAGCGAAAGCAUGGGUAGCGAACAGGAUUAGAUACCCUGGUAGUCCAUGCCGUAAACGGUGGGCGCUAGGUGUGAGGGUCUUUCUACGACUUUCGUGCCGUAGCUAACGCAUUAAGCGCCCCGCCUGGGGAGUACGGCCGCAAGGCUA
rnacentral:rRNA from 1 species